ACGAACGCUGGCGGCGUGCUUAACACAUGCAAGUCGAGGGCGGUAGCAAUACCGACCGGCGAACGGGUGCGUAACACGUGAGCAACCUACCGAACUGUGGGGGAUAGCCGGCCCAACGGCCGGGUAAUACCGCAUACGCUGUUUUGGUCUCCUGACUGGAACAGGAAAUCUUCGGAGCAGAUCGAGGGGCUCGCGGCCUAUCAGCUAGUUGGCGGGGUAAUGGCCCACCAAGGCAGUGACGGGUAGCUGGUCUGAGAGGAUGGCCAGCCACAUUGGGACUGAGAAACGGCCCAGACUCCUACGGGAGGCAGCAGUGGGGAAUCUUGCGCAAUGGGCGAAAGCCUGACGCAGCGACGCCGCGUGGGGGAUGACGGGUUUCGGCUUGUAAACCCCUGUUGCCCGGGACGAACUUCUCCUUUCGAGGAGAUUGACGGUGCCGGGUGAGGAAGCACCGGCUAACUCCGUGCCAGCAGCCGCGGUAAUACGGAGGGUGCGAGCGUUGUCCGGAAUCACUGGGCGUAAAGGGCGCGUAGGUGGCGCGAGAAGUCAACGGUGAAAGCUCGUCGCUUAACGACGAGUCGGCCGUCGAUACUCUUGUGCUCGAGCACUGUAGAGGCAGGAUGGAAUUCCGGGUGUAGCGGUGGAAUGCGUAGAGAUCCGGAAGAACACCGGUGGCGAAGGCGGUCCUGCUGGGCAGUAGCUGACACUGAGGCGCGACAGCGUGGGGAGCAAACAGGAUUAGAUACCCUGGUAGUCCACGCCGUAAACGAUGGGCACUAGGUGCUUGGGGAGCGACCCCCUGAGUGUCGGCGCUAACGCAUUAAGUGCCCCGCCUGGGGAGUACGGCCGCAAGGCUGAAACUCAAAGGAAUUGGACGGGGGCCCGCACAAGCGGUGGAGCAUGUGGUUUAAUUCGACGCAACGCGAAGAACCUUACCUAGGCUUGACAUACAGAGGAAAGCUCGCAGAAACCGGAGCCCCUCCUUCGGGACUUCCGUGCUACAGGUGCUGCAUGGCUGUCGUCAGCUCGUGUCGUGAUGAUGUUGGGUUAAGUCCCGCAACGAGCGCAACCCCCGUCCCCAGUUGCUACCGGGUAAUGCCGAGGACUCUGGGGAGACUGCCGGAUGCCAAAUCGGAGGAAGGUGGGGACGACGUCAAGUCAUCAUGGUCCUUACGUCUAGGGCUACACACGUGCUACAAUGAUCGGUACAGAGGGCUGCAACCUCGUAGAGUGAGCCAAUCCCAGAAAGCCGAGCCUCAGUGCGGAUUGGAGGCUGCAACUCGCCUCCAUGAAGCUGGAAUCGCUAGUAAUCGUGGAUCAGCUACGCCACGGUGAAUACGUUCCCGGGCCUUGUACACACCGCCCGUCACGCCAUGGAAGCUGUGAGCGCCCGAAGUCCGUGUCGGAACCCGCAAGGGACCAAGCGGCCGAAGGCGAGCGCAGUGACUGGGGCG
rnacentral:rRNA from 1 species